CCUCCUCCUCACUCUCUCUCUCUCUCUCUCUCUCUCUCUCUCCCCCCCCCCUUGCUCUCCGUGGUGGCCAUGACGAUUUGCGCUUCGUCGUCCUCGGAUUCGACGGGAUCGGAGACGAGCAGGGCGUGGAUCGUGCACGGCGUGGUCGUCCUCGCCGGCGCGGCGGCGGCGGCCGCGGCGGCGGCGCUCUAUCUCCGGCGGUCGCGGAAUCUCCGGAGGCGCGUGGUGGGGAUCAUCCCGGCCCGCUUCGCCUCCUCGCGCUUCGAGGGCAAGCCCCUCGUCCGCAUCCUCGGCAAGCCCAUGAUCCAGAGAACAUGGGAGAGAGCCAAGUUAGCUUCCACUCUUGACCAUGUUGUUGUGGCGACGGAUAAUGAAAAAAUUGCAGAAUGUUGUAGAGGAUUUGGAGCUGAUGUGAUAAUGACAUCAGAAUCAUGCAGAAAUGGAACUGAACGUUGUAAUGAAGCACUGCAAAAACUUGGCAAAACUUAUGAUAUUGUUGUCAAUAUUCAAGGAGAUGAGCCACUUAUUGAACCAGAGAUUAUAGAUGGUAUUGUCAGAGCAUUGCAGGGAGCUCCUGAUGCUGUUUUCAGCACAGCUGUCACUGCACUGAAACCUGAAGAUGCAUUUGACCCGAAUCGAGUAAAGUGUGUUAUAAACAACAGUGGGUAUGCAAUUUACUUCUCAAGGGGGCUAAUCCCAUUUAACAAUUGGAAUCUUUCAGGUCUGGGAAAGUUAAUCCUAAGUUCCCGUACCUUCUUCAUUUGGGUAUUCAGAGCUAUGAUACCAAAUUUCUAAAGAUAUAUCCGCAACUUCCGCCUACUCCUCUGCAACUAGAAGAAGACCUGGAGCAACUUAAAGUUCUUGAGAAUGGGUACAAGAUGAAGGUAAUCAAAGUUGAUCAUGAUGCUCAUGGCGUCGACACACCCGAGGACGUCGAGAAAAUAGAAGCACUGAUGCGAGAAAGAAACAUUCAGUAGCAGAGGCAGUAGAAUAGCACAAGAAAUUUUGCACAUCGCGGGAGAGUAAUUCCUAGUUUUAUUGUCAACUAUAUUCCACUAUUGUUGUUGUUGUUGUUGUUGUUGUUGUUCAUGAAUUGAAUGAAGAGUCUAUUUUCCUGCAGAUACAAGUGAAACAUUCUGAAAUAUCAGUAGUUAUGUCAAAGAGAUGUUGUAGAAGUGAAUGAACUAAAUGUUGAUUUGGAUGGAUGAAUAGAGCAACCAGUGCAAAGGACAAUUAUUUUCGAA